UGCAGCAAAACGCCAAACUUUUGCACGUGUUUGACUUCCGAAAUGGAAGUCGAUGGGACCAAAAGUGGUACCGACUGAGAGAAUCUCCUCUCCGCCGCACAUUAUACUAUGAUUAUGGAGAAGAGAAGAAAGACGCCCGAUUCAACACUGCAAACGAGCGAUUAAGCGAUGCGGCUGCUACCGUGAGUACACAAUGAUUGCGAUGAGUGUCUACUAGAGCCCAGCAACUCACCGAUUCGGAUUCGCGGAUUUGAUGGAUAAAGAAGAGUCAGCCGCUCCUGUCUUGUGCUCUACAGUGUGGUCCACUUGUCUUUGCACCCUGGGAGGGGCAGUGCUGUCACAAGGCAUUUCACCACUGAUGGGAAUAAAUUAGGAUGGUGGUGCAGAGUGAUGGCUAUCAACCCUGCAUGUCAACAGCUUCAUUCAGUCAAAAAUGAUGUUUAAUGGAGGACUUCACAGAGAGGGUCAGUGGCUUGUUUGCCACCACCCACAUGCCCUGCAUUUAGGGGUGAUGGUUAUGAGACACUUCUUGUUGUUUUUGCUAAUUUUAAGAGUUUAAUUUUUUGGUAGUUUUAAGAUAAAUCAAGUUCUCUCUUAGGACAUUGAUUCCCAAUCUAGCCCUCAGGAUGCAUCUGUUGUUUUGUUUUUUUUGGUUUAUAUUCUUGUACGCUUAAAAUGCUUUCAUGGCUGUAAAUUGUUAAUGCACUGUACUCUGGGUAUGCGUUACUUUACUUUUGCGUUACUUUUUAUAUCUGAGCAGGGCUUGCUUGUGUUUAAUAUAAAGUUCUAUUUUUGGCUAAUGUAAAAGCCUUUUCACACCAAAAGCCUCAGGCUUUGAGAAAAGUAAAUUCACGUCUGUACAGUAGACCGCAAAAAAAAAAGUCAACUCUUCAGCAAUACAAAAAAAAAAAGGAAAACAAAUGUUAGAUUAUCUUGAGUAAUUGUUGCUUAUUAGUAUGGUUGAAAAAGUGAUAAUAUUAUGUAACUCACGUUACUUGUAAUGCGUUAACCCCAACACUGCUAAAAUGUUUUGAAACGUUUUAAUAAUUGUAUGUUUAAACGUUUAAAUAUUUGUAUGUACUAUUCCAACUACACAAUACACAAUAAUAAUUACACAAUAACUGAAGUAGAAGCAAAAUUACAAAGUACUGUAAAAAUACAGUACAAUACUGUUUUGACUGUAUACAGUACAUUGUUCUACAUACUGUAACGAUACAUUACAGUACAUUGCUGUAAAACAACCUUGCUGCCAGUAACUUACUGUAAAAAUACAGGAAAAUUUUUAACAGUGUACCAGUCAAAAGGUUUUGAAUAGUUUUAAUGUUAAUAACCCUUAUGUGGUCUCAAUUUUGGGUUGUAC